rnacentral:rRNA from 1 species
GACGAACGCUGGCGGCGUGCUUAACACAUGCAAGUCGAACGGAAAGGCCCUGCUUUUGUGGGGUUCUCGAGUGGCGAACGUGUGAGUAACACGUGAGUAACCUGCCCUUUACUUUGUGAUAACUUCUGGAAACUUUGGCUAAUACCUGAUAGGAUCUCCUGCUGCAUGGUGGGGGUUGGAAUGUUUCGGCGGUUUGGGGUGGACUCGCUGGUUAUCAGCUUGUUGGUGGGGUAGUUGCUUACCAAGGCUUUGACGGGUAGCCGGCAUGAGAGGGUGACCGGCAACAUUGGGACUGAGAUACGGCACAGAAUCCAACGGGAGGAAGCAGUGGGGAAUAUUGCACAAUGGGCGGAAGCAUGAUGAAGAAACGCCGCGUGCGGGAUGACGGCCUUCGGGUUGUAAACCGCUUUAGACUGUGACGAAGCGUGAGUGACGGUAAUGGGUAAAGAAGCACCGGCUAACUACGUG